GACCUUGGUUUUGGCCGUCACCAGUCGCGCGUGCCAGGAACCGUUGUCUCCGGUCCGGAUGUAGAGCACCGCGGCGUAGGUACGCUCCGAGGCGUCGGCAAAGCCGUGAAGCUCGACGUAGUCGUCAGGCGGGCCGAUCUCCAGUCACCGCGGCACUCGAAGGCUCUCGAGCAGCGGAAGCUCCUGCGCGUAGGCGUGCCACUGCCGCUCGGCCGCCUCUCCCAGCGGGUCGUCCCAUCCCAGACCCCGCAGCCAGGUUGACUGGAAGGAGAUCUUGGCCCUCACUAUCACAGGCGCUAACCAGCCGAGGGGGUCGAAGAGGCGCGCGGUGAAAGAGAGUACCGAUCUCUUCGUGACGUCCUUCAGGGUGGUAGCUAGAACAGAAAAAGAAAAUUCGUCUGUGGCGGGAUGCCACCGCAGUCCCAGAGUGCCAUGCGUCUCGUGAGGCCGCCAAUCACGCAGAGCCCGCUGCAUGAGAUGCUUAGCCGGAACGCUCUUCAAGAUUCUAGGAUCGUUUGCCGAUCACUUGCGCAGGGGGAAGCCGCCCGCCAUGCACAGUCCGGUCAGCUGCCGUUGUAGCUCGCAAGCUUCCUCCAAGGUCGAGGCACCAGUCAAUAUAUCGUCCAUGUACACUUUUCCGCGUAGAACUCAAGAGCCCAAGGGGAAGCUCUCCGCCUCAUCGUCGGCAAGCUGGCGAAAAGUGCGCAUGGCCAGGAACGGCGCACACGCUAGCCCGUAUGUGACGGUGUUCAACCGAUAGUCGCUCACCUCGUCCUGGGAAUUGUACCGCCACAAGAUUCGCUGAAGAUCCCGGUCCUCAGGGUGAAUCAGAAUCUAACGAUACAUUUUUUCCACGUCCGUGGCCAGAACGUAGCGGUGAAGUCGCCAUCGAAGGAGCAUCUCGGCGAGAGGAGGCAGCAGGUUCUGGCUCACCAGGAGGCUCCGGUUAAGAGAGUCGCCGGAGAUGGUCGUCGUGAAGCCAUUGAAGACUACGCGCAGCUUAGUCGUCGAACUCGCCUUGCGCAGAAUUCCGUGGUGAGGCAGGUAGUUGACGUGUUUCCCCUUCGCGGUGUCAGCACGGGUCAUAUGGUCCAAGGCCUUGUACUCCCUCAGAAAAUCGACGUAGAGUCGGUGCAGUCGGUCGUCACGCGCAAACCGUCCUUCUAUGCCGACAAGACAGCGUAAGGCGGCGCGCUUCGUGGUAGCAAGGUCUGGCAGUGAAGCAACCACUGGUAGCCGCACGACGUAGCGGCCGUCUGCUUGUCGGCUGUGUGUCGUCCGGUACAGGUCCUCACACUCCUGUUCGGCGAGAGUGAGAGGCGCUAAGCCGGCAGGCAGUUCCUCCUGCUGCCAGAAGUUCUUCACCAGGCAGGUUGACCACGGCCGCCUUUCCUCAAUUCCGGUUCGAGGAUGGUGAUGUAGACAUCGGCUCCGAGGAGGAUGUCCACCGGGUCUGCUGCUAAGAAGUCCUGGUCGGCCAGAAUCAGGCCCGUGAGAUGAGGCCAUGCGCUCGCAUCCGCCUGUAUGCUGCGGUCCUACAGCGUCAGUCGGGGGAAGACCAACGUCGGAACGGUCAGCGGCGAGCCACCACCCUAGGUGUCUGCUGCCCGAAGAGUCCUCGUCGAACUUCACUGUCACUUCACUGCACUUGAAAAAAACCGACGCCGGCGACGCGGAAUCCGGCUCGAAGGACCAGCGAAAUGUUCGCGAGCAGACUUGUAGCGCAAAUGAGGUGCAGUAAAGAGAGAGAAUUUUACGAGAGUUGGAUAGGGCGACUGCCCAACAAAUAAAUUGAGUCGGUCUCAAGAUAACUUGCACCUUUAUUUUCACUACUCGGCUAACGCAAGCGAUUAUAACAAUUAUUUCAAUUCCGGAGUUAAUAAUUAUUAUGCCCCGACGUCUCUCGCCGGCGAAAAUCGUAUCAGAAAUCAAAUCGAUGUCCAAAGGGUAGCCGUGUCCGUAAUAAUUUUUGCGUGUACAAAUUCUCGUUUAUCUCGUCAAUUAUCGAAAGGCGACUGCGAAUCGCGCUUAACUUUUGCGCCUUAUAAGGACACUGAUCCUUCUAGAAAGAUUAGGCGGGAAAAACAAUCCGACAAUAAAUUCUGUUAUUUGGAUCUUUUUAGAAGGAACGAAAAGGUACGUGUUAAACAAAUAUUUAUCACGGCUGGCGGUAUACAAUGGCCCGAAC